AAACUAAGCAGGCUCCGUAAGGUAGCUAUCAGCUAAACAGUGAUAUACGCUAAACAAUACUCAGCAGUUUGAAUGGG